GGCGGACGGGUGAGUAACACGUGGGCAACCUGCCCCUCAGACAGGGAUAACGCCUGGAAACGGGUGCUAAUCCCCGAUAGGUUCUUCUUUCGCAUGAGAGAAGAAGGAAAGGCGCUACGGCGUCACUGAGGGAGGGGCCCGCGGCGCAUUAGCUGGUUGGUGAGGUAACGGCCCACCAAGGCUACGACGGGUAGCUGGUCUGAGAGGACGAUCAGCCACACUGGGACUGAGACACGGCCCAGACUCCUACGGGAGGCAGCAGUGGGGAAUAUUGCGCAAUGGGCGAAAGCCUGACGCAGCAACGCCGCGUGGAGGAUGAAGGCUUUCGGGUUGUAAACUCCUUUCAGCAGGGACGAAACUGACGGUACCUGCAGAAGAAGCCCCGGCUAACUACGUGCCAGCAGCCGCGGUGAGACGUAGGGGGCAAGCGUUGUCCGGAUUUAUUGGGCGUAAAGAGCUCGUAGGCGGCUUGGCAAGUCGGAUGUGAAAUCUCCAGGCUUAACCUGGAGUCGCCAUCCGAUACUGCUAUGGCUAGAGUCCGGUAGAGGAUCGUGGAAUUCCUGGUGUAGCGGUGAAAUGCGCAGAUAUC
rnacentral:rRNA from 1 species